GGUCACUUUGGCAGCCCACAUACAAAAGUUAGAAAGAUACAGAGAAAAUUAGCAUGGCUCCUGUGCAAGGAUGACAUCCAAAACUCCAGGUGUAGAUGAUUUCACU
ensembl:snRNA U6 U6 spliceosomal RNA